rnacentral:rRNA from 1 species
UACAGGGGGUGCAAACGUUGCUCGGAAUUAUUGGGCGUAAAGCGCGCGUAGGCGGCUACUUAAGUCGGAUGUGAAAGCCCCUGGCUCAACUGGGGAAGUGCACCCGAAACUGAGUGGCUUGAGUGCGAAAGAGGGUCGCGGAAUUCCUGGUGUAGCGGUGAAAUGCGCAGAUAUCAGGAAGAACACCAAUGGCGAAGGCAGCUCUCUGGGACGGUACUGACGCUGAGACGCGAAAGCGUGGGGAGCGAACAGG